GGGCCCGUGGUCUAGCUGGCUAUGACGUCGCCUUGACAUGGCGGAGAUCCGGAGUUCGAAUCUCCGCGGGCCCA
rnacentral:tRNA from 1 species